rnacentral:rRNA from 1 species
CAGCCGCCGCGGUAAUACGAAGGGUGCAAGCGUUACUCGGAAUUACUGGGCGUAAAGCGUGCGUAGGUGGUGGUUUAAGUCCGUUGUGAAAGCCCUGGGCUCAACCUGGGAAUUGCAGUGGAUACUGGGUCACUAGAGUGUGGUAGAGGAUAGUGGAGUUUCCGGUGUAGCAGUGAAAUGCGUAGAGAUCGGAAGGAACAUCUGUGGCGAAGGCGACUAUCUGGGCCAACACUGACACUGAGGCACGAAAGCGUGGGGAGCAAACAGGAUUAGAUACCCGUGUAGUCCCUGUCUCUUAUAC